rnacentral:rRNA from 1 species
CCUACGGGGGGCAGCAGUGGGGAAUAUUGGACAAUGGGCGAAAGCCUGAUCCAGCCAUGCCGCGUGUGUGAAGAAGGCCUUCGGGUUGUAAAGCACUUUCAGUGGGGAAGAAAGCCUUGGGGCUAAUACCCUCGAGGAAGGACAUCACCCACAGAAGAAGCACCGGCUAACUCCGUGCCAGCAGCCGCGGUAAUACGGAGGGUGCGAGCGUUAAUCGGAAUUACUGGGCGUAAAGCGCGCGUAGGCGGUCUGAUAAGCCGGUUGUGAAAUCCCCGGGCUCAACCUGGGAACGGCAUCCGGAACUGUCAGGCUAGAGUGCAGGAGAGGAAGGUAGAAUUCCCGGUGUAGCGGUGAAAUGCGUAGAGAUCGGGAGGAAUACCAGUGGCGAAGGCGGCCUUCUGGACUGACACUGACGCUGAGGUGCGCAAGCGUGGGUAGCAAACAGGAUUAGAUACCCCAGUAGUC